rnacentral:rRNA from 1 species
AGCGAACGCUGGCGGCAGGCCUAACACAUGCGAGUCGAGCGCCGUAGCAAUACGGAGCGGCAGACGGGAGAGUAACACGUGGGAACGUACCCUUUGGUUCGGAACAACCCAGGGAAACUUGGGCUAAUACCGGAUAAGCCCUUACGGGGAAGGAUUCAUCGCCGAAGGAUCGGCCCGCGUCUGAUUAGCUAGUUGGUGGGGUAAUGGCCCACCAAGGCGACGAUCAGUAGCUGGUCUGAGAGGAUGAUCAGCCUCACUGGGACUGAGACACGGCCCAGACUCCUACGGGAGGCAGCAGUGGGGAAUAUUGGACAAUGGGCGCAAGCCUGAUCCAGCCAUGCCGCGUGGGUGAUGAAGGCCCUAGGGUUGUAAAGCCCUUUCGGCGGGGAAGAUAAUGACGGUACCCGCAGAAGAAGCCCCGGCUAACUUCGUGCCAGCCGCCGCGGUAACAC